rnacentral:rRNA from 1 species
GGAUUAGAUACCCUGGUAGUCCACGCUGUAAACGAUGGAUGCUAGAUGUCGGGGAGUAUUCUUCGGUGUCGUAGUUAACGCGUUAAGCAUCCCGCCUGGGGAGUACGGUCGCAAGGCUGAAACUCAAAGAAAUUGACGGGGGCCCGCACAAGCGGUGGAGUAUGUGGUUUAAUUCGAUGCAACGCGAAGAACCUUACCUAGGUUUGACAUCCACGGAACCCUCCCGAAAAGGAGGGGUGCCCUUCGGGGAGCCGUGUGACAGGUGCUGCAUGGCUGUCGUCAGCUCGUGCCG